rnacentral:rRNA from 1 species
CGCACGGGUGAGUAACGCGUAUCCAACCUUCCCCUUAGUAGGGCAUAGCCCGGCGAAAGUCGGAUUAACACCCUAUGUUAUCCGAAGAGGACAUCUGAAUUGGAUUAAAGGUUUACCGCUAAGGGAUGGGGAUGCGUCUGAUUAGGUAGUAGGCGGGGUAACGGCCCACCUAGCCGACGAUCAGUAGGGGUUCUGAGAGGAAGGUCCCCCACAUUGGAACUGAGACACGGUCCAAACUCCUACGGGAGGCAGCAGUGAGGAAUAUUGGUCAAUGGGCGAGAGCCUGAACCAGCCAAGUAGCGUGCAGGAUGACGGCCCUAUGGGUUGUAAACUGCUUUUAUACGGGGAUAAAGUGAGGGACGUGUCCCUUUUUGUAGGUACCGUAUGAAUAAGGACCGGCUAAUUCCGUGCCAGCAGCCGCGGUAAUACGGAAGGUCCGGGCGUUAUCCGGAUUUAUUGGGUUUAAAGGGAGCGCAGGCCGAAGGUUAAGCGUGACGUGAAAUGUAGCCGCUCAACGGCUGAACUGCGUCGCGAACUGGCUUUCUUGAGUGAGUUCGAUGUAGGCGGAAUUCGUGGUGUAGCGGGUGAAAUGCUUUAGAUAUCACGAAGAACUCCGAUUGCGAAGGCAGCCUACAAGGCCUUUACUGACGCUAAAGCUCGAAGGUGCGGGUAUCGAACAGGAUUAGAUACCCUGGUAGUCCGCACGGUAAACGAUGGAUGCCCGCUGUUCGCGAUAGACUGUGAGCGGCCAAGAGAAAUCGUUAAGCAUCCCACCUGGGGAGUACGCCGGCAACGGUGAAACUCAAAGGAAUUGACGGGGGCCCGCACAAGCGGAGGAACAUGUGGUUUAAUUCGAUGAUACGCGAGGAACCUUACCCGGGCUUGAACUGCCAGCGAACGAUACAGAGAUGUUGAGGCCCUUCGGGGCGCUGGUGGAGGUGCUGCAUGGUUGUCGUCAGUUCGUGCCGUGAGGUGUCGGCUUAAGUGCCAUAACGAGCGCAACCCUUUUCAUUAGUUGCCAUCAGGUGAUGCUGGGCACUCUGGUGAUACUGCCACCGUAAGGUGUGAGGAAGGUGGGGAUGACGUCAAAUCAGCACGGCCCUUACGUCCGGGGCUACACACGUGUUACAAUGGGUGGUACAGAAGGCAGGAUCAAUGCAAAUUGUUUCAAAUCUUAAAAGCCAUCCUCAGUUCGGAUUGGGGUCUGCAACCCGACCCCAUGAAGCUGGAUUCGCUAGUAAUCGCGCAUCAGCCAUGGCGCGGUGAAUACGUUCCCGGGCCUUGUACACACCGCCCGUCAAGCCAUGAAAGCCGGGGCGCCUGAAGUCCGUGACC